CAGAUGGAAUCAGAGAAACAAUCGAGCACGCUAAAGUUGACCUUUUUGGUAUCUUGUGAAAAUUACUGAUGUCAAGGGAGAGCCUCUCACCUACUCUGAAGGACUCAGAAAAAGCAUUUUACCGGUUGCCCUCCUCAUCAACCCAGAAACAUCUUCAUCCUUGAAGAUCAAUUAGCCCUGGAACUCUCCCGGGAAGCACAAAGCAUACCUCCAGGUAACCAUGUGGAAACUUGAGGAGAUACCUGCUUCUUGACAAGGAUGACCCUGAUUGAUUGAUGAUAAUCCAG